CGCAGCCCGAGGAGCCGAGGAGGCGGCGGGACCCGGCCGGACAAAUUUCCUGCUCGGCUGCGGGAGGCGGGCGACAGGAGGCGUCGGGAGCGGCUCCAGGACCCCGCAGCCUGCACGCUUCCCCACGACCCUCCUUUGCGCCCGGCGGGGACAGCGGGGCGCCCCGGAGGGCGGCGGGUAGACGCCCGGGAGAUGCGGAGCCGCGGCGGCGGCGCGAUCGGCGCGACAGCACCGGCCCCCCCGAGGUGAGCGGCGCGCGGUGCGUGCGAGUGGCCGUGCGCUCCUG
rnacentral:lncRNA from 1 species